rnacentral:RNase_P_RNA from 1 species
CUCUUACCGCACCUGCGGUAAGAGCGCACCGCGCGGCUGGUAACAGUCCGUGGCACGGUAAACUCCACCCGGAGCAAGGCCAAAUAGGGGUUCAUAAGGUACGGCCCGUACUGAACCCGGGUAGGCUGCUUGAGCCAGUGAGCGAUUGCUGGCCUAGAUGAAUGACUGUCCACGACAGAACCCGGCUUAUCGGUCAGUUUCACCU